rnacentral:rRNA from 1 species
CCUACGGGUGGCAGCAGUGGGGAAUAUUGGACAAUGGGGGCAACCCUGAUCCAGCCAUGCCGCGUGUGUGAAGAAGGCCCUCGGGUUGUAAAGCACUUUCAGUGAGGAAGAACGCCUGGUGGUUAAUACCCAUCAGGAAAGACAUCACUCACAGAAGAAGCACCGGCUAACUCCGUGCCAGCAGCCGCGGUAAUACGGAGGGUGCGAGCGUUAAUCGGAAUUACUGGGCGUAAAGCGCGCGUAGGUGGCUUGAUAAGCCGGUUGUGAAAGCCCCGGGCUCAACCUGGGAACGGCAUCCGGAACUGUCAAGCUAGAGUGCAGGAGAGGAAGGUAGAAUUCCCGGUGUAGCGGUGAAAUGCGUAGAGAUAGGGAGGAAUACCAGUGGCGAAGGCGGCCUUCUGGACUGACACUGACACUGAGGUGCGAAAGCGUGGGUAGCAAACAGGAUUAGAUACCCUUGUAGUC